rnacentral:rRNA from 1 species
CGACUGCUAUCGGAGUGGGACUAAGCCAUGCGAGUCCUGCGUCCUCGGCUGCGGGGGCGCGGCGCACGGCUCAGUAACACGUAGUCAACCUGCCCUGGAGACGCGGAUAAUCCCGGGAAACUGGGGCUAAUCUGCGAUAGGCCUAGGGUGCUGGAAGGCCCUUAGGCCCAAAGGGGCAGGCGGGCAUGCUCCGUCCGUCCGCUCCAGGAUGGGACUGCGACCGAUCAGGUUGUUGGUGGGGUAAUGGCCCACCAAGCCUAUAACCGGUACGGGCUCUGAGAGGAGGAGCCCGGAGAUGGGCACUGAGACAAGGGCCCAGGCCCUACGGGGCGCAGCAGGCGCGAAACCUCCACAAUGCGCGAAAGCGCGAUGGGGUCACUCCGAGUGCCGCCCGCUGAGGGCGGCUUUUCCCGGGCCUAAAAAGCCCGGGGAAUAAGGGGAGGGCAAGCCUGGUGUCAGCCGCCGCGGUAAUACCAGCUCCCCGAGUGGUCGGGACGAUUAUUGGGCCUAAAGCAUCCGUAGCCGGCCCGGUAGGUCUCCUGUUAAAUCCAACGGCUCAACCGUUGGGCCGCAGGAGAUACCGCCGGGCUAGGGGGCGAGAGAGGCGGACGGUAUUCCGCGGGUAGGGGUAAAAUCCUCUGAUCCGCGGAGGACCACCAGUGGCGAAGGCGGUCCGCCAGAACGCGCCCGACGGUGAGGGAUGAAAGCUGGGGGAGCGAACCGGAUUAGAUACCCGGGUAGUCCCAGCUGUAAACGAUGCGGGCUAGGUGCUGGAAGGGCUACGGGCCCUUCUAGUGCCGCAGGGAAGCCGUUAAGCCCGCCGCCUGGGGAGUACGGCCGCAAGGUUGAAACUUAAAGGAAUUGGCGGGGGAGCACCACAAGGGGUGAAGCCUGCGGUUCAAUUGGAGUCAACGCCGGGAACCUUACCCGGGGUGACAGCAGGAUGAAGGUCAGGCUAAAGACUUUACCAGACGAGCUGAGAGGAGGUGCAUGGCCGUCGCCAGCUCGUGCCGUGAGGUGUCCUGUUAAGUCAGGCAACGAGCGAGACCCCCACCGCUAGUUGCUACUACCUCCCGAAAGGGAGGUGGGGCUAAUUAGCGGGACUGCCACCGCUAAGGUGGAGGAAGGAGGGGGCCACGGCAGGUCAGUAUGCCCCGAAACCCCGGGGCCACACGCGGGCUGCAAUGGUAGGGACAAUGGGAGCCGACCCCGAAAGGGAGAGGAAAUCCCUAAACCCUACCCCAGUUAUGACUGAGGGCUGCAACCCGCCCUCACGAAUCUGGAAUCCCUAGUAACCGCGCGUCAUCAUCGCGUGGUGAAUACGUCCCUGCUCCUUG